rnacentral:rRNA from 1 species
GAUGAACGCUGGCGGCGUGCCUAAUACAUGCAAGUCGAGCGGUAAGGCCCCUUCGGGGGUACACGAGCGGCGGACGGCUGAGUAACACGUAGGAACGUACCCCAAAGUGAGGGAUAAGCACCAGAAAUGGUGUCUAAUACCGCAUGUGCUCUAAGGAGUAAAGCUUCGGCGCUUUGGGAACGGCCUGCGCAUGAUUAGCUUGUUGGUGAGGUAAUAGCUCACCAAGGCGACGAUCAUUAGCUGGUCUGAGAGGAUGACCAGCCAGACUGGAACUGAGAACGGUCCAGACUCCUACGGGAGGCUG